CUGAGCGGCAGAGAGAAGAAGAGAGGCUGAAGAGCGACUAUGAUUCAGGUGAGAACCAUCAUCUUCAUUGGCUGGCAAUCUCUUCGACCCCAACAAGGACCAGCAGAAGUUCUAUGUGUAGUUUACGUGGCUUCCAUUUCUCAAACCACAAAGAGCUCUAGGAUGUAUUCCAUGGCUAGCCAUGUGUUUGUUGGCAAAGUUUGCUUUAGUCAAGAAACAUAUUGACCAUUCUGAUGCAACAGAUGAAGAUUACAAUCACAAAGGGAGGUUGUAUAAGUUUUUAAAGGCCUUUCUUGCUAUUUCACUGCUGGCUUUGGUCAUUGAAAUCGUUGCUUACUCCAAAAAUUGGAUUGGAGUUUGGUUCUUCCUUAUGGUGUUGUACAAUGGCCUUAUAUGGGCUGGUUGUCCUUAAGGGUUGAUUACCCUACUGCUCCCUUGCUGUUAGUGCUUUCCAAGUUUUGCAUUGUACCUUCAAGAUUGAGUCAUUGGAUCAAUUGGUGCUUUGUCUUAAAUGCUUCUGGAUUAAGGUCAAGAAGCUGAUGCUAAUAGUACGAGAAGCAUAUGAUAUUAAGGAUGA